GAUGAACGCUGGCGGCGUGCCUAAUACAUGCAAGUCGAGCGAACAGACGAGGAGCUUGCUCCUCUGACGUUAGCGGCGGACGGGUGAGUAACACGUGGAUAACCUACCUAUAAGACUGGGAUAACUUCGGGAAACCGGAGCUAAUACCGGAUAAUAUAUUGAACCGCAUGGUUCAAUAGUGAAAGACGGUUUUGCUGUCACUUAUAGAUGGAUCCGCGCCGCAUUAGCUAGUUGGUAAGGUAACGGCUUACCAAGGCAACGAUGCGUAGCCGACCUGGGAGGGUGAUCGGCCACACUGGAACUGAGACACGGUCCAGACUCCUACGGGGGGCAGCAGUAGGGAAUCUUCCGCAAUGGGCGGAAGCCUGACGGAGCAAAGCCGCGUGAGUGAUGAAGGUCUUCGGAUCGUAAAACUCUGUUAUUAGGGAAGAACAAAUGUGUAAGUAACUAUGCACGUCUUGACGGUACCUAAUCAGAAAGCCACGGCUAACUACGUG
rnacentral:rRNA from 1 species